GAAAAAUUGAAGAAAUUGAAAAAAAUUGUACAAAAAACUGCAGCAAAAGUUGAACAAGAAGAAGAAGGAGAAGGAAUACUGGAAGAUCUGGCUAAGAAUCAAAAUUGAAUAUAUAUUUAUAUAGACCUUCACACUAAAUAUUUUCUUUUUUAAUACAGAUGCUUAUUUAAAUUGCAAUAGAACUCAUUUCGGACUGCGGAAGGACAAGUCGUCUAACUAAUGCCAAAAACGGAUUAAAUGGAUUAACGUGCGACGCCUUCCAGGAGCUAACGUAAAAAAAAAAAAACGAAAAAAAGAAGCAAGCAAACGAAAGACUGUGGCAAAAAACUUGAAUUGACGUAGCGAGCAGAGUUGCCGAGUUGUGUGCGGAAAAAUUAUUAUGCAGCUGCAAUUACUCGCCAAUUGUCGACGUUGGCAACUAAAAAACAGAUGCUGCGAGGAAAAACUUGCCGCCCGGGUGUUAAUCCAGGCAAAGGCAGGGACGGAAACGCAGCGGGAUUUGUCGACUUCUGCUGGGGGCAAACGGUUCUCUGUGGCCCGAUCUGGUUAUGACCAAAUGCAGCUCUUGACUAGCUGAUUAUUUUUAUUAUAAUUGUGCGUUUAUAGGCGUGAGGAAAUGCAGCAACAGACACGCCCCCUCGCCCACUGUGCGUUGACUGAAAAUUGUUGCCACUUAAUUGUGCCGCCAACUGGCCGAACAUUGUGCUAAUGACGACGACACCUUCCACAUGGCAACUCUUCUCCCCUCGCUGCACCUCUCUUCCCGCCCUCACUCACUUCUCACUUGAACGUAACUCAAGCAUCCCACUAAUUUUGCCAUAUAUGUCCAAGUGGUACGACAACCGCCGCAACGAGCCAACUCGCCUUUGAUUUCGCGCAAACUUGGCGCUUGUUGUACAACAUUUUUGCAGAACGGCAACCGCGGAGACAUGCAUUUUUGGCCAUUUCUAUGACCGUUCGGCAUUCAAAGACCUGUGCCGACAAAAUGCAUAGAUUAUUCCAUUUUAUAGACUCUUGUCUCUUGUUCCUUUGGCCAAAAGACUUUAGCUAGAUCUUGCUAUAAAAGCUGCUAGCUCAUGAAGUUGUUCAGUUAAGUCUUUUCCGAGACAAACUAAUUGAAGACAUUUGAUCUGAGAAUCUAUUUAAUAGUUAAAUUAAAUAGUUCAUCAGAUAAGCUAGAGACUUUGGAAGGCUUAUGAAAAGUCUUUAAGUAAGGAAUUAUAUUUCAACUACAGAUCUAAUAAUUAUACAAUAAUUUUCUUAAAAGUCUUAUACACUUUGGCGUGUGAGAAAUAUUUUAAAUAUAGCUGCAGAUGCAGAUUUAGUAAUGAAACUGAUUCCUUACUCGGCUGCUAUACGUCUGAUAAAACUAUGCAAAUACAAUCUGUAUUUGUAGUACAAUCUGUUGCAGAACAUAUAUCAAGGCCAAAUCGAACCACUGUAUCAUAAACACUAUAUAAACUUUAUGAACAUUAAGAACUAGAUAUGAAUAACAUUAUGAGACCCAAAGGAAGAAUAUUAAAAACUUCAAUCUGCAUUGUAUCAAAGUUCACUAGUCA